GUGUCAGCCGCCGCGGUAAUACGAAGGGGGCUAGCGUUGUUCGGAAUCACUGGGCGUAAAGGGCGCGUAGGCGGCCGAUCAAGUCGGGGGUGAAAGCCUGUGGCUCAACCACAGAAUUGCCUUCGAUACUGUUUGGCUUGAGACCGGAAGAGGUUAGUGGAACUGCGAGUGUAGAGGUGAAAUUCGUAGAUAUUCGCAAGAACACCAGUGGCGAAGGCGGCUGACUGGUCCGGUUCUGACGCUGAGGCGCGAAAGCGUGGGGAGCAAACAGGAUUAGAAACCCUCGUAGUCC
rnacentral:rRNA from 1 species